rnacentral:rRNA from 1 species
AUGUGGCGGUGCCCGAAAGGGAACCUGGACACAGGUGCUGCAUGGCUGUCGUCAGCUCGUGUCGUGAGAUGUUGGGUUAAGUCCCGCAACGAGCGCAACCCUUGCCAUUAGUUGCUACAUUCAGUUGAGCACUCUAAUGGGACUGCCGGUGACAAACCGGAGGAAGGUGGGGAUGACGUCAAGUCCUCAUGGCCCUUAUGGGUAGGGCUACACACGUCAUACAAUGGCGGAUACAGAGGGUUGCCAACCCGCGAGGGGGAGCCAAUCCCAGAAAGUCCGUCGUAGUCCGGAUUGGAGUCUGCAACUCGACUGCAUGAAGUCGGAAUCGCUAGUAAUCGCGGAUCAGCAUGUCGCGGUGAAUACGUUCCCGGGUCUUGUACACACCGCCCGUCACACCAUGGGAGUGGGUUCUACCAGAAGUAGGUAGGCUAACCGCAAGGAGGCCGCUUACCACGGUAGGAUUCAUGACUGGGGUGAAGUCGUAACAAGGUAACCGUAA